rnacentral:rRNA from 1 species
CGGACCGGCGCACGGGUGAGUAACGCGUAUGCAACUUACCUAUCAGAGGGGGAUAACCCGGCGAAAGUCGGACUAAUACCGCAUGAAGCAGGGGCCCCGCAUGGGGAUAUUUGCUAAAGAUUCAUCGCUGAUAGAUAGGCAUGCGUUCCAUUAGGCAGUUGGCGGGGUAACGGCCCACCAAACCGACGAUGGAUAGGGGUUCUGAGAGGAAGGUCCCCCACAUUGGUAUUGAGACACGGACCAA